GAUGAAGAACGUAGCGAAAUGCGAUAAGUAGUGUGAAUUGCAGAAUUCCGUGAAUCAUCGAAUCUUUGAACGCACAUUGCGCCCUUUGGUAUUCCUUAGGGCAUGCCUGUUCGAGCGUCAUUUAAACCUUCAAGCUCAGCUUGGUGUUGGGUGACUGUCCGCCGCCUCCGGGCGGUCGGACUCGCCUCAAAUUGAUUGGCGGCCGGUACUUUGGCUUCGAGCGCAGCAGAAACGCGAACUCGAGGCCGUCGUCCUGGCUCCCAGAAGCUAUCUUCACAAUUUUGACCUCGGAUCAGGUAGGGAUACCCGCUGAACUUAAGCAUAUCAAUAAGCGGAGGA
rnacentral:misc_RNA from 1 species